AUACCUUUCUCGACCUUCUGGCUAAGAUCAAGUGUAGUAUUUGUUCUUAUUAGUUUAGUAUCUGAUAUGUGGGCCAUCAGCUCACUCUUUUUAAAAUUAAUUUUUUGAGGGGGAGGGCCCACUAUAGUAGCUUGUUACUAGCUGGGACCUCUCACGCGUUGCCUUGGUGUUGCACUAUUACUAGCUGGAACCUCUCAU